AGAAAGGUAGUUUAAAUUAAAACUUUGGCUUUGGGAGUCGAUGAUGUUGGCUGGUUCAACCUUUUUUA
rnacentral:tRNA from 1 species